CUUUUGGGUGUGACUGCGUACCUUUUGUAUAAUGGGUCAGCGACUUAUAUUCUGUAGCAAGGUUAACCGCAUAGGGGAGCCGGAGGGAAACCGAGUCUUAAUUGGGCGUUAAGUUGCAGGGUAUAGACCCGAAACCCGGUGAUCUAGCCAUGGGCAGGUUGAAGGUUGGGUAACACUAACUGGAGGACCGAACCGACUAAUGUUGAAAAAUUAGCGGAUGACCUGUGGCUGGGGGUGAAAGGCCAAUCAAACCGGGAGAUAGCUGGUUCUCCCCGAAAGCUAUUUAGGUAGCGCCUCGUGAAUUCAUCUCCGGGGGUAGAGCACUGUUUCGGCUAGGGGGCCAUCCCGGCUUACCAACCCGAUGCAAACUGCGAAUACCGGAGAAUGUUAUCACGGGAGACACACGGCGGGUGCUAACGUCCGUCGUGAAGAGGGAAACAACCCAGACCGCCAGCUAAGGUCCCAAAGUCAUGGUUAAGUGGGAAACGAUGUGGGAAGGCCCAGACAGCCAGGAUGUUGGCUUAGAAGCAGCCAUCAUUUAAAGAAAGCGUAAUAGCUCACUGGUCGAGUCGGCCUGCGCGGAAGAUGUAACGGGGCUAAACCAUGCACCGAAGCUGCGGCAGCGACGCUUAUGCGUUGUUGGGUAGGGGAGCGUUCUGUAAGCCUG
rnacentral:rRNA from 1 species